AAUCCUCGCCCGAUCGAAUCGAACGCGUGCUAACGAGUAUUCUAGUGAACCUGCGGAGGGAUCAUUACCGAGCGAGGGCCCCCGCGGCCCGACCUCCCACCCUGUGAAUGACAGACCCCUGUUGCCUGGGGGGUGACCCGGUCCUCCGCGGCCGGGGCCCCCACCAGACCCCAACCAAACCCUUGCGUCUCUGCGUCCGAGUCCACGAUAUGAAUCAAUCAAAACUUUCAACAACGGAUCUCUUGGUUCCGGCAUCGAUGAAGAACGCAGCGAAAUGCGAUAAGUAAUGCGAAUUGCAGAAUUCCGUGAGUCAUCGAAUCUUUGAACGCACAUUGCGCCCUCUGGUAUUCCGGGGGGCACACCUGUUCGAGCGUCAUUACACCCCUCAAGCCCCGCUUGGUAUUGGGCGACCCGGGCGAGAGCCCGCGCCUUAAAUUGAUUGAUCGGCCAGAUCUGCCGGACCCCGAGCGUUGCGGAAACGAAUUCGCUUAGGGGAGCCGUGCGUCCGCGCCGCCGACCGCCGCCUCCGGGCGGCAAUUUCAUUAGGUUGACCUCGGAUCAGGUGGGGAUACCCGCUGAACUUAAGCAUAUCAAUAAGCGGAGGAAAAGAAACCAACAGGGAUUGCCCUAGUAACGGCGAGUGAAGCGGCAACAGCUCAAAUUUGAAAUCUGGCGCAAGCCCGAGUUGUAAUUUGUAGAGGAUGCUUCGGGGCCGCGGCCGGUCUAAGUUCCUUGGAACAGGACGUCAUAGAGGGUGAGAGUCCCGUAUGCGACCGGUGGGCACCCCGCACGUAGCUCCUUCGACGAGUCGAGUUGUUUGGGAAUGCAGCUCUAAAUGGGUGGUAAAUUUCAUCUAAAGCUAAAUACCGGCCGGAGACCGAUAGCGCACAAGUAGAGUGAUCGAAAGAUGAAAAGCACUUUGGAAAGAGAGUUAAAAAGCACGUGAAAUUGUUGAAAGGGAAGCGCUUGCGACCAGACCUGUCGGCGGUGUUCCGCCGGUCUUUUGACCGGUCCACUCGCCGCCGCUAGGCCAGCAUCGUCCGGGGCCGCCGGAGAAAGACGGGGGGAAUGUAGCUCCCCCGGGAGUGUUAUAGCCCCCCGUGUAAUGCGGCGCGCGCCGGGCGAGGUCCGCGGU
rnacentral:rRNA from 1 species